GUAGCUGUGAUGAGCCAUAACUCGUAAGAAGACCAACCGAUCAAUUGGUUCUUCGAUGAAAUAUAAGCUGAUACGCUUGGCUUCUGAGCUGA
rfam:Dichanthelium oligosanthes cultivar Kellogg 1175 unplaced genomic scaffold Do_version_2_scaffold2841, whole genome shotgun sequence.